rnacentral:rRNA from 1 species
AGGACAAACGCUGGCGGGGUGCAUGAGACAUGCAAGUCGAACGAGGUGCCAUCGGGCUUGCUCGAUGGUUACCUAGUGGCGGACGGCUGAGUAACGCGUAGGUGACCUACCCGGAAGUGGGGAAUAACUGCCCGAAAGGGUGGCUAAUACCGCAUGUGGUCGGCGAUUCGAUUCGCCGUCUAAAGGAGCAAUUCGCUUCCGGAGGGGCCUGCGUCCGAUUAGCUAGUUGGUGGGGUAAAGGCCUACCAAGGCGACGAUCCAUAGCUGGUCUGAGAGGAUGAUCAGCCACAUUGGGACUGAGACACGGCCCAAACUCCUACGGGAGGCAGCAGUGGGAAUAUUGGACAAUGGGCGCAAGCCUGAUCCAGCCAUGCCGCGUGUGUGAUGAAGGCCUUAGGUUGUAAAGCACUUUCACCGGAGAAGAUAACGACGGUAUACCGGAGAAGAAGCCCGGACUAACUCGUGCCAGCAGCCGC